UCGCUGUGAUGAAGCGUUUUCCUGCCAUUCGUAGUUUCCACCAGAGGUCUGACGACCAAAGACGGUUCAAUCCUUCCUUGGAUGUCUGAGCGA